AGUGAACGCUGGCGGUAGGCCUAACACAUGCAAGUCGAACGGCAGCACAGUAAGAGCUUGCUCUUACGGGUGGCGAGUGGCGGACGGGUGAGGAAUACAUCGGAAUCUACUUUUUCGUGGGGGAUAACGUAGGGAAACUUCCGCUAAUACCGCAUACGACCUACGGGUGAAAGCAGUGGAUCUUCGGACCUUUCGCGAUUGAAUGAGCCGAUGUCGGAUUAGCUAGUUGGCGGGGUAAAGGCCCACCAAGGCGACGAUCCGUAGCUGGUCUGAGAGGAUGAUCAGCCACACUGGAACUGAGACACGGUCCAGACUCCUACGGGAGGCAGCAGUGGGGAAUAUUGGACAAUGGGCGCAAGCCUGAUCCAGCCAUACCGCGUGGGUGAAGAAGGCCUUCGGGUUGUAAAGCCCUUUUGUUGGGAAAGAAAAGCAGCAGGUUAAUACCCCGCUGUUCUGACGGUACCCAAAGAAUAAGCACCGGCUAACUUCGUG
rnacentral:rRNA from 1 species